GAUGAACGCUGGCGGCGUGCCUAAUACAUGCAAGUCGAGCGAACGGACGAGAAGCUUGCUUUUCUGAUGUUAGCGGCGGACGGGUGAGUAACACGUGGAUAACCUACCUAUAAGACUGGGAUAACUUCGGGAAACCGGAGCUAAUACCGGAUAAUAUUUUGAACCGCAUGGUUCAAAAGUGAAAGACGGUCUUGCUGUCACUUAUAGAUGGAUCCGCGCUGCAUUAGCUAGUUGGUAAGGUAACGGCUUACCAAGGCAACGAUGCAUAGCCGACCUGAGAGGGUGAUCGGCCACACUGGAACUGAGACACGGUCCAAACUCCUACGGGAGGCAGCAGUAGGGAAUCUUCCGCAAUGGGCGAAAGCCUGACGGAGCAACGCCGCGUGAGUGAUGAAGGUCUUCGGAUCGUAAAACUCUGUUAUUAGGGAAGAACAUAUGUGUAAGUAACUGUGCACAUCUUGACGGUACCUAAUCAGAAAGCCACGGCUAACUACGUG
rnacentral:rRNA from 1 species